UCUUAUAAUUUUGUCCUAAAUAAUGGUAUACAAAAUUUAUAUGAAAUUAUUAUUUCCCGGUUUUUUUUUCACGCAUAAGUAUAUGCGUGUGUCAGAGUUUUACAGAAUAAAAUAGCGCGGGGUAAAUUUGUACUAAGAAUUACUGGCCGGUUAGUACUUAAUAUAUAAUGGUACUGGCUUUAAAUACUUCUCAUUUAAAAAAGAAAUUCAAACCUUUUUUCUUUAUUUAAAGUAUGCAGAGAUAUUUUGUAGAAGAACAUUUACGGUAGUCUUCAGUACAAUCAAAUCCUUUGCGAGAUUUACACAAAAAGCUCUAAAAAAAUUAAAAUCGUUAAAAAUCUUUGAAAAAUAUCCGUUAUUUUCUUAAAUCACCAAAUUCGGCCGAUCCUUGGAAUUAUUUGAUUACUAGUACUCUUCACAUACCCAUACAAAAAUGUGUUGCGGACCCUGUGGAGGUUGCUGCAGCGGUGGUAACUGCGGCGGUUGUUGCUGCCCAUGUAUCACUAUAUACACGUGCUGUACCAAGAUUUGCUAGUGUGCUAGUGUUGGCAGCCCCGAGGUCAUCGCAGACAAGCCAUGGCGUCUGCAGCGAUUUCGUCGAAGGGCAAUCUUUCCGCUUCGUAUACGCAGUGCUGUUUUUGUGGAAAUAAACUAUUGAAUUAAGCGUAA